rnacentral:rRNA from 31 species
AAAACUUUCAACAACGGAUCUCUUGGUUCUGGCAUCGAUGAAGAACGCAGCAAAAUGCGAUAAGUAAUGUGAAUUGCAGAAUUCAGUGAAUCAUCGAAUCUUUGAACGCACAUUGCGCCCGCCAGUAUUCUGGCGGGCAUGCCUGUUCGAGCGUCAUU